CUAGAGAGGUGGCGGCUGUCAGCACUGAGCAGAAAGGCAUUCCGAGGCACAAGAAUAGCCCGACCACAAGACAGGAAGGCGGUCUCUGAAAACAUUGUUCUCCCUGGAGCAGAAAAGACCACAUGUUGGGAGGCCCUGGGGUUUCCUGGAACUGCUGGGAACAGAGGUGCUUUUCCAGGAGGGAGAAAAGGGACAAGGAACAAGGAAACUAAGAAAGACAGCGGAUACUUUCAGAUGGCAAUCAGCAACACAAGGAAAAUGAGCAGGGUUAUGGGAUGGUAGCUGCUUCCAUCAGGUGUCAGGGAGUCCUCUGGGAGGAGGUGGCAUCUGCAUGAAUUCCCUGGAGCUGAGGAGCAGCCAGCCAUGCGAAGACCUGGACAAAGGGUAUUGGGAGCCCAGAAAACAUCCAAUGGCAAAGUCCCCAAGGGAGGAGCAAGUGAGGAAGGGCAGAGUGGCCAGAGUGGACUGUGGGCAGGGAGGGCAGCACUAGAUGAAGGUAGGGUGGACCCAGUGG
rnacentral:lncRNA from 10 species